rnacentral:rRNA from 1 species
UACAGAGGUCCCAAGCGUUGUUCGGAUUCACUGGGCGUAACGGGUGCGUAGGCGGUCGGGUAAGUCUGAUGUGAAAUCUCACAGCUUAACUGUGAAACUGCAUUGGAUACUAUCCGGCUCGAGGAAUGGAGGGGAGACUGGAAUACUUGGUGUAGCAGUGAAAUGCGUAGAUAUCAAGUGGAACACCAGUGGCGAAGGCGAGUCUCUGGACAUUUCCUGACGCUGAGGCACGAAAGCCAGGGGAGCGAACGGG